rnacentral:lncRNA from 1 species
UCCUCUAACAAUUCCAUACUAAACAUGAACUUUUGCUACACACAUUUCUACAUUAAAUCUCCCUGUUCUAGCAAAUGAUAGAAUUGUGUAGCACAGUCUAAUUAGGAAAAGUAACAUGAUAUACUAUAUAUAUUUUCUAGGUAUGGUACAUAUCCAUUCUGUACUUAAAAGGACCGAAAUUAUACACCUUGAUGGCUUGGUUGUUGAGGAACGACGCCAGAAUUGUAGAGCACUGGUAGGAGCAGCCAAGAUAGAUUUGAUUGAAGAAGAGGCCGAGAGGCAUCAAGGGCAGACUGCGUGCCAUCAUGGUUUAUAUCCAUUAAAGGGCGACAUGAAUUGUAGAUCACCUGCAACCUACCAUCGACCAUCGUGGCCUUGGAUUAGGGUUUGUGGAAAACUAAUUUGGGUGAGUCAGCGAGACAUAUAUAAUUAAUAAGGAGAAUAAACGAGGACCUAGAGAGCGGUGUUCGGCGGCGUAUUGUGGCUCCCCGUCCAGCGCCAUGAACUCACGAUUGGGAUCCUGGAAAUAGAAUAUGGAUCGUGGCACUCUGAAACUUUUUGGCCAGUGGACUAGUCAUGGGCUACAUCCGUUCGUUCCUACUCGUUU